UAAAUUUAUCAUGUGUUUUAUUUCAUAGAUACAAAUUGGACCAAUUAAAAUAAAAAAAGCAUUUAACUGUAAAACAAAAAAAAUAAAAGGCACAAAAUAUUUUAAUAAAAAAAGAAAGCACAAGUAAAUUUGAUCAUUAAAUGUGUGUAUUGAAUGACUACACCCUAGUCUUGUCUAGGAAUUGUGAGUCAAUGACUACAUUCUAUUUAGGACUUACACAUACUAUCUCAUUCAUAAGUAAAUGUAAUACACCAAUCUGCUAUCUAAAUACACAUUUUGUAUUAAACUUAAAACUAAAAGCAACAACAUUAAAAUAAAAUACCCCUCCCCCCUUUUAAAGUUGAAACUUUUGUUCAAACAUUUGUUCUAUUUAAUGAAUAAUAAUCUUUUAGUCAAUCUGGGUACAAGUAAAUGAAACAUGGCAGACAUAAAAAUAUCACUUUUUGAAUAAAACAAAUACUGGGAACUUUAUGUACAUACAUCAAAUGUACACUUUUACAUUAUAUACAUUUAGAGAGAAAACAACAUUUACAAAUAUCAGAUAAGGUUUCAGAAUUGAAUGAAGCCAUGUAGAGCAGCUAGAGAGGUGCAGUAAUGAUACUUUUUCAAUGUAUUCCCAAUGUCUUAAUAAUCAAAGAAUCCAGAUGGCACAUAAAAUGUACAAGGUUCAAAUGUUGUGUUUUAUAUUUUUGUACGCAAGUUGAUCUAUUACUGGAAUUUUUUUUUGUCUUUUUGCUAUCAUCAAUGUAUUCAUUUUUUUUUUUGCUUGCAAAAAGUGAAAACUAAAAGUUAAUAUAAUUUUCAUGAAUAUUAUUGGUAAGCAUGGUAAACCAUGUCUAAUUUGUUUGUCUUUUGAUGGAACCACAUGUAGAACUGCUGCUGCCUCCUACUGACUACAACCAUCACAGACUUUUUAUUUACAGUUUUGCUCCAAACACACAGCAGAUUGAGCAGCUGUAGUUUAAUUUCAGGGCAAUAAUAAUUGACAUAUGUUGAAUACAAUGAAAUGCAACAAACUAUGUAGCUUUGAUUUACAUACAUAUCAGGGAUUUCA